AUACGUAGGGCGCGAGUGUUGUCCGGAAUUACUGGGUGUAAAGGGAGCGUAGGCGGGAUCGCAAGUCAGAUGUGAAAUGCAUGGGCUUAACCCAUGAGCUGCAUUUGAAACUGCGGUUCUUGAGUGAAGUAGAGGUAAGCGGAAUUUCUGGUGUAGCGGUGAAAUGCGUAGAUAUCAGGAGGAACACCGGUGGCGAAGGCGGCUUACUGGGCUUUUACUGACGCUGAGGCUCGAAAGCGUGGGGAGCAAACAGGAUUAGAUUCCCUGGUAGUCCACGCUGUAAACGAUGAUUACUAGGUGUGGGGGGACUGACCCCUUCCGUGCCGCAGUUAACACAAUAAGUAAUCCACCUGGGGAGUACGGCCGCAAGGUUGAAACUUAAAGGAAUUGACGGGG
rnacentral:rRNA from 1 species